AGAGUUUGAUCAUGGCUCAGGACGAACGCUGGCGGCGUGCUUAACACAUGCAAGUCGAGCGGUAAGGCCCCUUCGGGGGUACACGAGCGGCGAACGGGUGAGUAACACGUGAGUAACCUGCCCCUGACUCUGGGAUAAGCCUGGGAAACUGGGUCUAAUACCGGAUAUGACCUCGUGCCGCAUGGUGUGGGGUGGAAAGGUGUUUUUCCGGUCAGGGAUGGGCUCGCGGCCUAUCAGCUUGUUGGUGGGGUAACGGCCUACCAAGGCGAUGACGGGUAGCCGGCCUGAGAGGGCGACCGGCCACACUGGGACUGAGACACGGCCCAGACUCCUGCGGGAGGCAGCAGUGGGGAAUAUUGCGCAAUGGGCGGAAGCCUGACGCAGCGACGCCGCGUGGGGGAUGAAGGCCUUCGGGUUGUAAACCUCUUUUACCACUCACGAAGGCCCCUGGUUUUCCGGGGGUUGACGGUAGGUGGUGAAUAAGGACCGGCUAACUACGUGCCAGCAGCCGCGGUAAUACGUAGGGUCCGAGCGUUGUCCGGAAUUAUUGGGCGUAAAGAGCUCGUAGGCGGCCUGUCGCGUCUGCUGUGAAAGUCCGGGGCUUAACUCCGGGUGUGCAGUGGAUACGGGCAGGCUUGAGGUAGGCAGGGGAGACUGGAAUUCCUGGUGUAGCGGUGAAAUGCGCAGAUAUCAGGAGGAACACCGGUGGCGAAGGCGGGUCUCUGGGCCUUACCUGACGCUGAGGAGCGAAAGCGUGGGGAGCGAACAGGAUUAGAUACCCUGGUAGUCCACGCCGUAAACGUUGGGCGCUAGGUGUGGGGACUUUCCACGGUUUCCGUGCCGUAGCUAACGCAUUAAGCGCCCCGCCUGGGGAGUACGGCCGCAAGGCUAAAACUCAAAGGAAUUGACGG
rnacentral:rRNA from 1 species